rnacentral:rRNA from 1 species
GCACGGGUGAGUAAUGCAUAGAUAAUGUGCCCCUUAGUUCGGGAUAGCCACUGGAAACGGUGAUUAAUACCGGAUACUCCUUCUUGUUAUAAGACAAGUCGGGAAAGUUUUUCGCUAAGGGAUCAGUCUAUGUUCCAUCAGCUUGUUGGUGAGGUAAUGGCUCACCAAGGCUAUGACGGAUAUCUGGUUUGAGAGGAUGAUCAGACACACUGGAACUGAGACACGGUCCAGACUCCUACGGGAGGCAGCAGUGAGGAAUAUUGCACAAUGGAGGAAACUCUGAUGCAGCAACGCCGCGUGGAGGAUGACGCAUUUCGGUGUGUAAACUCCUUUUAUUAGGGAAGAUAAUGACGGUACCUAAUGAAUAAGCACCGGCUAACUCCGUGCCAGCAGCCGCGGUAAUACGGAGGGUGCAAGCGUUACUCGGAAUCACUGGGCGUAAAGGGUGCGUAGGCUGGCUUUUAAGUCAGAUGUGAAAUCCAAUGGCUCAACCAUUGAACUGCAUUUGAAACUGAAAGCCUAGAGUUCAGAAGGGGCAGAUGGAAUUAGUGGUGUAGGGGUAAAAUCCGUAGAUAUCACUAGGAAUAUCAAAAGCGAAGGCGAUCUGCUGGGAUGAUAC